rnacentral:tRNA from 1 species
GGAGAGGUGCGAGAGCGGCCGAAUCGGACGGUCUCGAAAACCGUAGUCGGGGUAACUCGACCGAGGGUUCGAAUCCCUCCCUCUCCG